rnacentral:rRNA from 1 species
UGGGGAAUUUUGGACAAUGGGCGAAAGCCUGAUCCAGCAAUGCCGCGUGUGUGAAGAAGGCCUUCGGGUUGUAAAGCACUUUUGUCCGGAAAGAAAUCCUUGGCUCUAAUACAGUCGGGGGAUGACGGUACCGGAAGAAUAAGCACCGGCUAACUACGUGCCAGCAGCCGCGGUAAUACGUAGGGUGCAAGCGUUAAUCGGAAUUACUGGGCGUAAAGCGUGCGCAGGCGGUUUGCUAAGACCGAUGUGAAAUCCCCGGGCUCAACCUGGGAACUGCAUUGGUGACUGGCAGGCUAGAGUAUGGCAGAGGGGGGUAGAAUUCCACGUGUAGCAGUGAAAUGCGUAGAGAUGUGGAGGAAUACCGAUGGCGAAGGCAGCCCCCUGGGCCAAUAUUGACGCUCAUGCACGAAAGCGUGGGGAGCAAACAGGAUUAGAUACCCUGGUAGUCCACGCCCUAAACGAUGUCAACUAGUUGUUGGGGAUUCAUUUCCUUAGUAACGUAGCUAACGCGUGAAGUUGACCGCCUGGGGAGUACGGUCGCAAGAUUAAAACUUAAAUGAAUUGACGGGGUCAUAGCUGUUUCCU